GUCAAAGCAAGAGACAAUCUGAAGACAAUCCACAUUUCACUUGUUUCCUCAUAAUUUCUGGAGAAAAUAGAGAAUGCUGACAACUGGGAGGCUUGAAAAGGACUCGUGUAGGAGCUGACAACUCUACUGUAAAGGCCAUGUGCAAAAUGCAAAGGACAGAAAGAUUAAAAAUGAAAUAAAUCCUCUUUUAAGAAGCCUCCUUUUAUUGGAGAAAAGGGAGCCUACAAAACAAAUGAACAAACAAAAAUUGAACACUGUAUGAUUAUACUGAUGAUGCUUGGUACUGCAGAACAGAUGAGAAAAUGUUCCUUCUUUGGCAGAAGUGGAUGA